CUCUGGUGAAGACUGCGUUGAGUUGUAUAGAACACGUUGGAAUGACAAUGGCUGCAAAGAGGAGUUUGGCUAUAUUUGCGAAAAACUCAAUGAACCCCCAAUAUGCUUGACUCCUGUGACCGUAGCAGUCACAUCUGGACCUCCUAUACACGUGACCCCUGUGACCCCAUCAGUCACAUCUGGUGAGCCAAUUAUUUUGUGUACUUUUCUUCAGUAUAUAUUUAUUAACUUGAAUAGAGUGGCCUACAAAUAUACAAUAUUUUCCUUAUUGGUAAAUAUUAAUUAAGUGCUUAGAACUGUCAAUCUUUGACUGAGCUGCGAUCAAGGGUAUGGCAUGAUUAAUUGCGAGUCACUAAAAAUCUGAGCCCGAUUGUUGAAAAUGUGCUGUGACAUAAAAGUGUAAAACUUCAAAACGUUUUAACGAAUGCGUCUGUAGCACAGAAUUAUUUAACCUAUCUGAUGCGAGAAGAAACAGUGGGUAUCUGCCUGAGAGCUAAAUACAAGCCAAUCUAUUCAUUUAAUUAUUGUUGUUUUCACUUCAUUACUCUUUUUCAUUGAAGUUUUUGUACCAAUGUGUAUAGGUCAUUGAUAACAUUUCCAUAGCUACGUGAACUUUAUAACAUCUUCAAGAUAUGAAUUAAUGUAGUGUAGAU